CAGUCGCCGCGGUAAUACGGAGGGUGCAAGCGUUAAUCGGAAUUACUGGGCGUAAAGCGCACGCAGGCGGUCUGUCAAGUCGGAUGUGAAAUCCCCGGGCUCAACCUGGGAACUGCAUUCGAAACUGGCAGGCUAGAGUCUUGUAGAGGGGGGUAGAAUUCCAGGUGUAGCGGUGAAAUGCGUAGAGAUCUGGAGGAAUACCGGUGGCGAAGGCGGCCCCCUGGACAAAGACUGACGCUCAGGUGCGAAAGCGUGGGGAGCAAACAGGAUUAGAUACCCGUGUAGUCCCUGUCUCUUAUAC
rnacentral:rRNA from 1 species